UUUGCAGCCCUUGGCUGUAAGGAAUUUAGAAAUUUGGCUGGCAAAACUGGAUGUACUGCAUGCAUCUACUGUUUUAAAUGCAUAUACUGUUCUAAACUAAAGAGCUUACACUUCAUGAAUUGAAGAACCUUAAGUUUGAAGCUAGUAGGGAUGGUAGAAUGAUACUGAAGUAAUUUUUUUUUUUUAAUCCUUUUUUUUUUUCCCUUUCCAAAGGAGCAACAAUGCCCACUCACCUCUGGUAUUUCCCCAGCUCCCAUACAACCUUUCAGUAGCCUGGUGUAUGCACUGUGCCCUCAAACACUGCCAGUGGGGCACAGUAUGGCUCACUGAUUAAAAACAAAUUCUCAUUUUAAAGAACAGUCCUAAUGUUUGUAACAUAAAUGUGAAAGAACCCUGUUUUCACUAUCUUUGGUUCCAGCUUGAUGGGGCAGGAAAAUGCCCGUUCCUGAGAAGGACCUCAGUAGCACUCAUCUUUUCAACAGCAUCCUAACAGAGCUGAACUGUAAUAUCCAAAUAACUCCAUUGGGUCUCUCUUGAGAUGGUCCUUCCCAACAGAAUCUUCAGAAACAUAAGUUAAUAUAUUAGUUCAUAUUAGUUAUUUUGGUAGAGGGGAGGAAUGGGAGGGAGCCUAAAGGGCAAAGAAGAAAUUCUAGCUUGUCUCAGACUGGCCUCUAGCACAUGUUACUCAUGUCUUCUCCCCGCUGCCUUCUUUUGCAGCAAUUUUGCUUCCACCAUUAUAUUCUAUCAUCAUACUGUUUUGGUUUUUUUCUUCAAGUGACUCUGUAAAGGCAUUGGAAUGCUUGAGUGUCAAUAGAUGAUAGAUGAAUUGUCAUAGAAGAAGCAGACAGACAGGAAAACCGAAGCAGAUUAAAAGGUCAUAAUCAUUGGACCCAAUUCUUCUUUCAGCAUCUGGCUUUGUGUAAUGAAGCUAUGUGGAUUCUGGCUAGAAAGUAAUAUUUAAAAAGCAAAUCAUUCAGAAGUGCACUCCUGGCAAAGGGACAAGAAAACAGCACGUGCUAAUGCUGAGUUCUCCAGGCUGCUGUCUGCACAACCAAACCUUACACAGAGAGUAGCAUCUACGCCUAUGGGAGCUCCUGACAAACAAACACCACAAAGAGGCUUUAGAAACAGGUGGUCCAUUUAAAGAAAAAUCAACUGACUGUAAUACUUCAAUGAAAUGAAGUAUUCACUGAAGCUUCACCAAGGGCAAGUCCUGCCUGAAGAAGGCCCUGGACAAGGGAAGAGCUACAGACGUCAUGUAUCUGGACUUCUGUGAGGCCUUUGACACGGUCCCUCGCAGCAUCCUUCUCUCUAAAUUGGAGAGAGAUGGAUUUGAUGGGUGGACUGUUCGGUGGAUGAGGAAUUGGUUGGAUGGUUGCACUCAAAGAGUUAUCUGAGACAUCAGAUAACUGCAUACUGGAUAGACAUUAUGAAUGCUACUUUUACAGAUUAAAACCAUAAAUUAGAAUUUACACCUUCUUAGACAUCUGCAAAUCCUACAGUCACAAAGCUAUUGUAUAUAAGGUGGUGUUGAUUCUACUAGUUAUAGAAAAAAGUUGUUUUCUUAAAAUCAGUAAAUCGAGAAUUUUCUAACAAAUUACUACCAAAUCUGACAGGAUAAAAGCAGCUACAUUGAAAGGAAGCUCCUAAAAUUUACAAAAUUAUCUUCUUUGAAGGAGCCCUCCAAAACCAAGAAUUGAAAUAGUAGUUUAAGAUGAGAAGCCCAAACUAACACAAACAACACUGAAGCUGAUCAGAAAAAGUGAGAAGCCUGAUUUCUUAUUUCCCUAGUGUCCUGGUUUGAGGUAAAACAGAACCAAUUUUCUGAUUUGUAAUUUUGCUUUUUAGCUGGGCCUCUUCUAACUGACUAAAGUCUGAAAUUAACAGCGUAUUGUUCAGAAACUGUUCAGUCCCAGGGUGAUAAGACCUGAUUAUACCAAGGAAUGGUGCGCACAGAGGCUCUUGCUUAUACUUAUUGCUAUAACAACCAAGGCCAGCUAACUUCGCUGUUUGCCCCGUUGGAGGGUCGGAAGCGGAGAAGCGUAGAGGGGUCCCACCUGCAGGGAGGAGCAGAUGGGACAGGCGACCCCAAACUGCCCAACAGGGUAUUCCAUCCCAUCUGCACCACGCUCAGUGUAAAAGCUGAGGGAUCAAAGGGGCGAGGCGGCUCUGGCUCGCUUUUUCUUCAAUGGCCGACGUCUAAGGAGGACCCUGUCUGUUCGUCUGCCUUUGAUCCCGAUCCGAGCACUCCUGACUCUAGUUCUGGAGUUCAGCUCUUGUUCCUCGCCGACUCCACUCUGGGACUUUCCCUGUGUCUGCUGGUGACACGAUCGCCAUCCUGGGAGCUGGAUACAGUUUUGUAUA